UUAAAAUAGAAAUCUUAAUAAAAUAUUAAAAUAAAAAUCUUAAUUAAAUCCUAGUCAAAACUUAAUCAAACCUUGAUCAAAUCUUAGUCAAAUCCUAGUCAAAUCUUAGUCAAAUCCUAAAUGGCCCAAACCAAAUCCUAAACAAACCUUAAUCAAACUCCAAAUAAAUUCUAAAUAAAUCCUAACCAAAUCUUAAUCAAAUCCUAAUCAAAUCCUAAAUAAAUCCUAGUCAAAUCCUAAAUAAGUCUAAUCAAAUCCUAAACAAAUCUUAGAUAAAUUCUAAAUAAGUCCUAACCAAACCCUAAACAAAUCUUAGACAAAUUCUAGUCAAAUCCUAAUCAAAUCAUAAUCAAAUUCUAAACAAACUGUAAUCAAAUCUUAAUCAAGUUCUAAAUAAAUUCUAACCAAAUCCUAAUCUAAACCAAAUCCUAAACCAAAUUCUAAAUCCUAAUCAAAUCUAAAUCAAAUUUUAACCAAAUCAAAUACUAAAUCAAAUCCUAAAUCUUAAU
rnacentral:lncRNA from 1 species